UACGAAGGGGGCUAGCGUUGUUCGGAAUUACUGGGCGUAAAGCGCGCGCAGGCGGUUCUUCAAGUCAGAGGUGAAAGCCCAGAGCUCAACUCUGGAAUGGCCUUUGAGACUAGAGAACUAGGGUACGGGAGAGGUGAGUGGAAUUCCGAGUGUAGAGGUGAAAUUCAUAGAUAUUCGGAAGAACACCAGUGGCGAAGGCGGCUCACUGGCCCGUUACCGACGCUCAGGCGCGACAGCGUGGGGAGCAAACAGG
rnacentral:rRNA from 1 species